UUUAAUUUAGUUUGAAAUUUAGAAUCGGAUUAUGUUAAAACACUUUAAGAUAGAGCACAAAUUUUAUAACCACACCAUUAAAAUUAUAUUUUAAAAUGACUGUUGUGUUGGAUUCAAUCGAACAUGUUUGGGUUGAAUUUUACAAUUCGAUCGGAUUAAAAUUUAGUUCGAGACAAACCAAAACGAAAACCCGAUCAUAUUGUUUAAAAUUAAAAAAAAAAAAAAUCCAUGAAUUUCUAAAUCUAAUUCAAUAAAUCUCGAUCUCCUUCACCUCUCCUUUUUUAAUUUUUUACAAAUGCCUCUCUCUUUCGCUCAAAGUCUCAAUGUUAAAAUUGAAAAAAAAAAUCUCAAAAAAUUAAAAUAACUCAAACACACACAAAGCAAUCGCUACCUAAUCUUCCUCCUCCUCCCCUUCAUUGUUCUACUCACAAACAAACACAUUCUGUAGCCGGCCAACUGCUGUUAUCUUCUUCUUCUUCUUCACACAAACACACGCACUGCAACCAUUGUCGUCUAUCGUCCUUGGCUCGCCGCUGCAUGUCAACCAAUCGCCACUGCCUCAUUCGUGGAAGGUCAGCUUCUAGUUCCAGUUCAAGGUGUCAAGCUUCCAUUUUGAUAAAUUUUUGUACUUGAGUCUUCGCACGUUUUUUUUUCUUAUUUUAAAUUGUUGCUAUCUCUAUUUCAUUCAGUUUUGUGGUUCUGUUGUAUUCCUUUGUUUGGAUGAUGGGAAAAUGCAGAAAAAAAUAAAAAUAGAAGUUCUUGCUAACCCUAAUUUGUAACCCUAACCGAACUGAACCAACCCAAAUUAAAUUCGUUUUUAUUCAGUUUGGGUUUCAAUUUCAAAUCUGAUUGGGUUGAAUUUUUUAACCCAAACGGGUUGUAACCCAAACCAAAACCCGAAUAGCUCGAACUAAAACCCAAUUUACCCAUCCGUACAAUAUACAUGUCGCAUUGCGCCUUUGCCCAUCGCACAGAUUUAGGUUUCAUCUCCAAUAUCGUUUUAACUCGAAUUUUUAUUGUCUUCAAUUAUUUUUAUUUUUAUCUAUUAAUUCAAACUUAUUACUUUAAGAAUCCACAAUAUUUUAUGAAUGCAAUAAUAACAUUCACUAUAAAGCCCACAACAAUUUCAAAACUAAGAUUAAAACAUUAAAAAAAACUCAUAUUGUGUAAAAACAUACACAAACCUUAACUUCUUACUCUCUAAUUGAUGAUUAUGUUUUCAGUUAUGUAUUAUUACAUUUGUUUGAUGAAUUUAGUAAUUUGUGGAUAAUGAUGUGGUUUAGUAAUUGGGUGAGGUGGUGAAGCUUGAUGAUUUUUUGAGAGUAGUGUUGGUUUGGUAAUUUAUUAAAAGUGAUGUGAGCUAUUCGAUCAAAAAAACUUAUAUAUGGCUAAGUUCUAAUAAGAAAAUAAAAAAUAAAAAUAAGGACUCCUUUAAUUUUGAUACUAUUUUUGUAAAUUUUCGUCAACGUAGAGUCUUCACUCCUACGCUCACUGCCCCCCCUGGUUUUCUUGUUCAUUUUUUUUUUAAAUUGUGGACUGAGAUACAUAAUAUCUUUAUACAUUCACUUGUGUUAUUAUUAAAUAAUUUUAUUUUUUAUCAUUAAUCCACCUCGCAAAUGAUAACACAUCAUAAAUCUUAUUAUUUGAGACGUGGAUUAUGCAUUCCUAGUUAUAUAUGUGUUGCCAAUGGACUUUUGGCUCAGUGGUGAACCUCUACUCUCACAGUUAAAAAGGAUUGUGAGGGUAGAGGUUCAAGUCCCAUAAACUUAAAACCCUCUCAAUUAAGCAUUAUGCAUGAUUGUAUGAAGUUUAUUUGCAAGUCUUUCUCCAUUACGAAAUACGAGUGGAGCAGAGACAUUAUUCGCCUGUGAGGGUUGUUAUUUGUUUGGGUAUGUACUUUAUAGAUUUAAUGUACCCCUCGCCUGUGAGGGUUAUUUGUCUGGACAUGUACUUCAUAGAUUAAAUGUAACAAUGUAAGUCCCAAUUAUGUAUAUCCGAUUGUAAAUAUUAGUGUAAUGUUUGUUGUAAUAGUAGUUGUAAAUAUCUGUGUAAUACAAUAAUCUAAUGUGUAAUCAUUAUUCUAAAUAUAUAUAUAUAUGUGUGUGUGUGUGUGUGUGUGUGUGUUUGUGACUCAAUUAUUAAUCAUGAUUUGUCUUAGGACAAGUUUGUAAUACUGUUAGUUUUUAAAAUAAUUGUCGUAAGCUAUACUAUAUAAAUAUUCAAUUGUGAAGAAAAUUAAUUAAACGUUUGGUAACUUUUAUUAUUUUUAAAAAUGCUAUGAUUUACGAGUAUUAAGAGCAGUCAAAUUUAUUUGGUUAAUAACCCUUUAGUAAAAUUUUACUGUUAAAUAGCUAUAAAAAGAUAAAUGACUGAAUUGAACAUAAUGUAAAUAAAAUUUAUUUACACAUUUUAUAAACACAUGUAAAAUAUUUUAAUUGUGUAUGCAAAAUAACUAUAUUUAAAAUAAAUAUUUUAUAUUAGUCAUUUUAUUUUAUUAUAAUAAUUUUUUUAAAAUUAAUAAUUUUAUUGUCUAAUUAAUAAAGAUAAUUUAAGAUUUUUAUAAUAUAUUUAAGAUAUAUAUAGUGAUUCUUAUAAUCAAACCCUUUAUUUUUCAAAAUCUAUUAUGGCAUGAAGUUAUUUUGUCAAAAAUAAUUUUAAAAAAAUCAACAAAUAUCAAAAUUAACUUUUAACAUUUCAAAAUCACUUUUAAUCCUCCCAAAAACAAUUUCAAAAUGACCCGUAAUCAUUCGUGAUUAAUGUAAUAUAACUGUGUAUUUAUAUUAACAAUCACCAAAGCAAAUUAAUUUCAACAUUUACGGGCAAGGUUAUUCUAUACAGAUUUUCAAGUUAUCCGCACUAUAAAACUGGGGAUUACACUAUAAUUAUAAUAAUUUAGACUUUAUUUGGAAUAAAAUGCUUAAAAAAGAAAAAGAAAAAACAGCAAUUGAAUAACUUACAAACAUACAUGAAAUUGGAAAGGAUUCUUUGAGGGCAGUGUUAAGCAUGCAUGCCCUUUCAUAUACAAACAAAUAGAAAUAAUUGCCCAGCUCACAACAUUAACACAAUCUACUUUUCUAACAUUUUCCCCGUCUGCUGCAAAAUCCAGAAGUUGCUUCUUGGUUGAAGUUAUGUAGACCGAAUUCAACUGGCGCUCGGCCUCUCUGUCUAUACAACAAUAUAAACUGCGAUCUUCUAGCUCAAAUAAUUUACAGUCACCACCCCUCAUUAACACUAUGUGCAGAGACUCAAGAUGCGAGUACAAGUCGUAUACCUAAUCACGGCUCUGGAUCUUCCUGAACAACCUCAGGCAAAGACGGUGAGGAUGCACCACUCAUUUUGCUGGGCACUGGUGUGUUUCUUCGUGAUUGGCGUUUCGUGAGGACUAACACAUUUUCAUUUUCCUCGUUGUUGAAAAGUGCAUCAUCAUCAUCAUCUUCACCUUUAAAGACGGGAUGAAUAUAUGCAUUUCGAAGAUAAC
rnacentral:lncRNA from 1 species